AUUGAACGCUGGCGGCAUGCCUAACACAUGCAAGUCGAACGAGGCAGCAAUGCCUAGUGGCGGACGGGUGAGGAAUACGUAGGAAUCUGCCCUUAAGUGGAGGAUAACCAGGGGAAACCCUGACUAAUACCGCAUGAUCUCUUCGGAGCAAAGAGGGGGACCGCAAGGCCUCUCGCUUCUGGAUGAGCCUACGUCUGAUUAGCUAGUUGGUAGGGUAAGGGCCUACCACGGCGACGAUCAGUAACUGGUCUGAGAGGAUGAUCAGUCACACCGGAACAGAGACAGGGUACGGCGUCCUACGGGGGGCAGCAGUGGGGAAUAUUGGAAUAGGGGCGCAUGCCUGAGCCAGCUGUAGCGCGUGUGUGAAGGAGGCCUGCGGGUUGUAAAGCACUUUAGCCUGAAAAGAAAAACCUUUGGUUAACACCCAAAGUCUUGACGGUACCAGGAGAAUAAGCACCGGCUAACUCUGUGCCAGCCGCCGCAGUAAAAC
rnacentral:rRNA from 1 species